ACAGGGGGGGCAAGCGUUGUUCGGAAUUACUGGGCGUAAAGAGUGUGUAGGCGGUGCUCUAAGUUUGGUGUGAAAUCUCCCGGCUCAACUGGGAGGGUGCAUCGAAAACUGGAGUGCUCGAGGGUGGGAGAGGUAAGCGGAAUUCCUGGUGUAGCGGUGAAAUGCGUAGAUAUCAGGAGGAACACCGAUGGCGAAGGCAGGUCUCUGGGCAUUAACUGACGCUGAGGAGCGAAAGCAUGGGGAGCGAACAGGA
rnacentral:rRNA from 1 species